AAUUUGCAUUUCAAAUAUUUCAAUAGUCCGAUCGUAGUUUAUCAUAAUAUAUUUUUAUUCAAAUCAGUCACGUCAAUAUAAUAGCAAUGGCAGAUAAUAUAAACAAUAUCGGUGAAGCCCUCUUCGACUUACACGAAAACGAUUUCGGCGUAAUCGGGGACGGCGGCUGCGGUGUCCCCGUGCACUUGGCACCCGUCGUGGAAUCGGCGUUGACGGGAUUCUUCUGUACGCGGAAGUGCAACGGCGGUGGACCCGAAAAACGGACGGCUUUCGAACGAGUAAUACAUCAAAUAUCGUACUGUCGGGUACGAGUAACGAUCAGACAGGAGAGCAUCCGUUCGACGUCGCCGGCGAUUGAAGGCAGUGAAGUAGAUCAACUUAGAAAACUACCAACUGCUGUCACUCGUCGACGUCGACGACGCGGACUACGUUCCGGUGCCCCACGCGGUCGGUGUUCUGGCAGGUGAGCUUGAUCCGCACGCAAAAGCGAUCGACGUCAAUCCACUUCCGCGUAGAAGGCGUUUGGCGUCCGAGCGGAAGCGGGUAAAACGCGCCGCUUUGCGUUUGUAGUGUGUACUGGUGCGCGCGAUGAGACGACGUCCACAGACAUCGGCCGCAGCGGACGGCGCACGGCGGUAAGUCAUCCGAGCACGUUUUCCGGCCACUCUCGCGGACACACGGAAUCCGCCAAUUCGGUAGCCGACGCCAUCGACCGCAUUCGACGGCUCGGCUAGCGGUACGGGCGCGGGCAACGAUUCCGACCCGCGUGAUAUGCAUCAGACGCUGACUCGUUACGGCGGAGGCACCGGAGACUUUGGCACGGGGUGAGUAACGAUGUUGUUUCGAGCUAAGAACACGGACGUCAGCGGGGCACCGGACCCGCGGCAACACAAUAUGUUUCACCGGAUGCGAUAUGAGAAACUAAAGAAACCCUCCUAGACGGUACACAGUGGUUUUCGGGCUCUAUAAUAAUGCGUUUUAAUCAUAGAGUAUUCGAUGUUCAUUAUCCUGUAUCCAUCAUCAUCGUACACUAUGGUCUUUUUCAUUUGAAUUGAAAUUCUUAUCACAUAAUAGUUCUUAUCACGGUAAUAAUAACAAUAAUAAUAAUAAUGCACUGUGGUUUUGUGAAUAUCAUGAUAUUGUAGUAUAUUCUUGUAUUAACUUCUUUUAUUCUAUUAAACAAUAUUAUACUAAUCUAAAAAGUAUUUUGUUGGACUAGAAAGACUAAAAAAUUAAAGAUUUGCAAUCCUCGUUCUUAUGUAAAUUAUAAUAAUAUUAAAUACUCAAACUAAUUUUUUAUAGUAAACUUAAAACUACUAAUUAUGUCUAUUACUUCUAAUGCUUACAGAAAAAUAUUACUUUUGUGGAAGAUUGUUGAAUAUUUGCUCGAGAACCGCAGUAUUUUCGUCGAGUUGGUACCCGACGUAGAACCAAAUGAACCAAUACAUCUUUCGUAAGUCUAAUAGAUGACAUUUUACGAGAGUUAACCAGACAACGAUGUGCCGCCAGAGGAGAGGUAGAUAAAGGAGACGACGACGUAGUCCACUACGUUCCGGUGGAGGGCGAGAAGAAGGGACACACGGCCGGUGUCCUGGUAGGUGAGCCUGAUCCGCACCCGAGCUACGCGACCGCGGCGGUCAAGCGACGCAGAAGACGAUCGGCAUCUGCGUGAAAGCGCAUAAAACCAGUGGCGUAGCAUGAAACUAUUGGUGGUUCUGGGGCCUAUAAAAGUUAGAGACCCUCUUUAAUGUAAUGGCACAGGUCCUGUGCCCCCCCCCCCAAACUUGGACUUAACUUGGGGGGCCUGGGCCCCGGUGGCCCCGGCUUAAAUACGCCACUGCAUAAAACGUUUGUGCUGAUGCUGCGUGCGAUGAUAAGGCGUCCGCUGGCAUGAUCUGCACCCUCACCACUGAAGACAUCGGCAGGACGACGUCGACAUAUAAGGUAACUCGUGGGAGGGGGGAUGCGAGACACAGGGCGGACGGCGUACGGUGGUAAGUCACUUGAGCACGUUUUUCAGUUACCCGCGAGCGCUUGGCUGCUUUGGUUCGCAAGCAGAACGAAUGGUGGAACGUCAGCCAUGCCGGACCCGCGGAAACUUUAAGCCGCUUCGGCCGCGCAUCUUCGACUACCAUCGGAUAACAGACGCGGCCGAAGACGGGCAGAUCAGGUCCGUGGUCCGUUGUGGCGAGGUCCUUCGACUCUCCUUUUCGUCUCGAGACAAUCCGUUACCGGCCGGGUGGCCGUUGACUCCGCAGGCUCAAAUCUUCGCUCUCGCCCCCCUCCACCGGCUCCACCUAGUUUAGUGUUGUUCUGCCGAUGUACUUUUCCCCCCUUUUUUGUUUUUAUUGUUAGAUUUUUGGUUUAUUGUUAAAAUUAUAUUUUUUUUUCAUUUAUUUAUACUGUUUUUUAUUAUUAAAAUUUAUAAUAUUAUUAACCCUCAAGUCAAGUUUUUUUUUUUAAGGUAUUUUUAUUUAUAUCAAUAUACAUUGAUUUGUUCUUAAAAGAACAAUAAAUGAAAACCGUAUUUACGCAAA